CAGCCGCCGCGGUAAUACGGAGGGGGCUAGCGUUAUUCGGAAUUACUGGGCGUAAAGCGCACGUAGGCGGAUCAGAAAGUCAGAGGUGAAAUCCCAGGGCUCAACCUUGGAACUGCCUUUGAAACUCCUGAUCUUGAGGUCGAGAGAGGUGAGUGGAAUUCCGAGUGUAGAGGUGAAAUUCGUAGAUAUUCGGAGGAACACCAGUGGCGAAGGCGGCUCACUGGCUCGAUACUGACGCUGAGGUGCGAAAGCGUGGGGAGCAAACAGGAUUAGAUACCCCCGUAGUCCCUGUCUCUUAUAA
rnacentral:rRNA from 1 species